UUUUGGGUAGGGGUAAGACUGCCUACAUAUUACCCUCCCCAGACCCCACCUGGUGGGAAUAUACUGGGUAGUUGUUGUUGUUGUUGUUGUUGUUGAUAUGAGAGUUGUCCAAAAAGGGUUCGAGGACAGCUACGAAGAAGAGUUUGUGAAUUUGUUUCAGGAGUUUGGGCCUUUCAAUAGCCCCAGAGGUCCUGAUGCCUCUUACAUUCCAAAUGAUUGUACUAAUCAUUGGAAAGAAGGCUCGAGCCUGUGUUUUGGUGGGACACUUGCUUCUAUUUUUUGCAGCUCUACUUCAGGUGAGACUAGGAUAUGGGUUUUUUCUGGCAGAUAAAGUGACAUUAUCAGCCUUUUUCAUUUUUGAUUUCCCAUUAACUGCAGUAAUCAGCAUUUCACAGUGUUGUUCUUCUUCAGGGAUUUCUUCACUACAAACACUUUCAACUUCCUGAUUCCCAUCACUUUCAUCCUCAGACUCAACUUGUUUGUAUUCAUCCUAUUGAGGGGUGUAUCUGUUAAGAGGGCAUGAAAAGGUGAGUUUGUGAGUUUUGGACUUAAGGUUUUCAUAUUUGGUGGGAAGUCUGAAUCAUUACCAUCUGAAGGCGGUUCUUUGUCAUUUAGAAGUGGUUGGGAUAGGGAUGGAUUGGCAAUGACUGAGUGCCUGUAAGCAGGAGAUGAUUCAUCAAGGAUCAAGGAUGGUUUUUUGGUGGGUGAUAGAAUUCAAAUUCUGGGAGAUAUCAGGGGGUUCAUUUAUGCUUAUUCCUGCAUUUCUGUUCUUCAUGGAUUUCCUCUUUUUCUGGCUAGGUUUAUUUCUGGUUUUUUGAACCUGAAUUGGGAAAUCAAUAGCAGCUUUAGCUUUUCCUUUGAAGAGUGCUUUCAUUUGUGAAGAAGGAUCUUAUUCAGAGCAUUAAGAGGCUGAGGCCUCCUCAAAUCUUACAUUAUCAAAUUUCUGAACUUGUUCUUUACUAGACUGAGAAAGUAUGGUUGCAGAGGUUGAUUGGUCAAUCUUAUGGUCAGUCAAAAUGUGCAGAAGCACACUCAUGCGAAACAUGAGGAAACCCUCCCCAUAUGGAAACCCUUCCUGUCUACCUAUAUGUUUCUCCUGACAAAUCACCUUUCCUCCUUCAGCUUCACUAGAAUUAACAUGGGGAAUUUUAGGGAAUGGGGUUGCUCUGAGCAACAGAGUCAACAACAAUAGAAAUAACAAGGGGGUUUGGGGGGUUUUGGGCACCAGAUCUUCACUCCUCUCCAGAUGAGUUGGAGGAUUGAUAGAAAGCAUACCUGAGGGGUGUGUGUCCUUAUGCUGUUUUUCCUUUGGUGUGGGCUGGGAUUACUGAGUGUUUGGUUGUUUUUGUAUGUAGACUUGUCAUUGUCUCUUUGUUGGAGUGUUACUUCUUCUUCCUUUGUGUUUUCCAUUCCUUUGUUGAUAUUUCCUCUAUUGCAUUUUGUUGUUCUACUAGUUUUUGGUGCUUCUUUGCCUUUGGUUUUUCAUUAUGGUCUGAUGCUCCCUUCUUUGGUUUUCCUUGCUGGUUGUUGUUUUGCUGUUGCUUGCUUGAUUCUGUAUGAUUUGUGAUUUUCUGUAGGUUAUUUAGGAGAUUAGUAGCUACUGCCUCAUUUUCUUCUUCUUUUUUUCUUUUUGUUUCCAAAUCCCUUUAUUUGAUAGGGCAGACUUGUGCAUUUUGGCCAAGAUGUCUGCAGUGGGUGCAAUAUGAUGGAAGGCUUUCAUAUUGGACUUCAAGCCAGUGCCCAGCCCCAUUCACAUCCUAUUCUUCAUCAUAGCCUAGCCAAACAUUAGUUGGCCUUUCCUUGGUAAGAUCUAUUUGCAUUUAUACUUUCACAGCACUACCUCUGGUCUUCUGGAAGGAUGCAAGAUCCAGAAAAACUGCUUUUCCAAUGGGAGAUAGAAGGGGAAAUAAAAUCUCCUUGUAGUAGAGAUGACAUGGGAGUUCUGGGAUCAUGAUCCAUACAGGUACAAUGGGGGAGUCUUCAUUUGGUUUGAAAAUUGGAUUCCAGGCUUCAAUUCUCAUCAUCUGACCCUGUAUGUACAUGUUCUUCUUGCUCCAUACGGUGGAGUGAUCAUACUCAUUUUCCAAAUCAAUGUAAACAGUUCUUGCAUUGUAGUGAGAAAUUUUCACACCACCUUUGAGUGAAGUUUUAGCAAUGAAGAUCUUCCUGAUCACAUCCAUUUUGGGCAUAGUGUUUGAGAAUUUUCCUAUAACUGUAAACUUACAUCUUUUAGCAAACUUCACCAUAUAGUCUUCCUUCUUAAAAAUGACUGCUGACUUGCGUUGUUUGGUGGUAAUAAUUGGAGGGGAGAAUUGGAUGGGGGCUAUUUCUGCCUCGUGUCUGGCUCUCAAUCUAGUUACAUAGAAGUGGGUGACUGUUGGGGGUGGUGAGGGUGGGUUAAGGGGUAGUUUUGGUUUGUUUUGGUUGACAUUUGGCUGAGGGCUGACAGUGGAGAUUGGGUUGGAUUGAAGGGUUGUCGUUGGUUUCACCUGGGGUGGAUUUUGGUUUUUUCGGUUUCUCCUUGGAAAAUUUGUAAGAGAUUUUAGGAUUGGAGUUGGGGAUGACAUGGUUGUUUUGGACCUGUGAUUGUUGAUUUGUCUGGGUAUAGUCACUGAAAGGAGAACCAGCAGGGGUUGGCAAUUGUGAACCUAAAGGUUGAAGAGGUUCUAUAGUAGAAACCUUAGUUACAACAUCUGGAGAAGCAACAUUGGUCACAAGGCCAGUUGUGUUAAUAGUAUCAUCUAAUGCUUUUGGUUGGACACUUGUGAGAGAUAAAUCCGCAAAAAAACCAUUUUCAGCAUUCGAUAAGUAGGGCUCAUUUAAAUUGUAACCUGAGAGUUUGGAAGCAUUCUCUUGAAUCAUAAGGGUUGUUUGGCAUUGGUCUUGUGUUGUUUGGAUUACUGGAUCUCCAUUGCCGGCUAAUUGGUGAGUUUCAUAGUUUGCCUUUUGGGAAGAUUGACCAGUUCCUAUGUUGGACUGGUUAAAAACUUUACUUACCUGCUCCUUUGGAUGUGUAGAAACAUUUGUGAUUGGUUGUUGCAAUUCAAUUGCCCUAGAAGAGUAGGUAGCAUUUUGACCAUCAUCUGCAUGAGAAGAGUUUAGUGGAUGCAAGGCUUGUAGAAUUGAUGCGGUUGAUCGAUACCCGUUUAAAAUUGAUGGCGCUAAACUGAUAUCUUCAGCAGUACAACCCUUUUGGUACGUAGAAUUAUCAUUUUGGCCAGUUGGACCUCCAAUUCCGGGCACCUCUAUUUCACCGGAAUUAUUCAAUUGAGUGUUAAUAUUGAUUCCCAUGGUAGAAUUGACUAAUUUUUGGUGUUGAGGCUUGUUUUGUGAUGGAGAUGCAUCUCCAUGGAUUGGAAGUUCGUUUUUUUGACCCAGAAUCAUCAUGGGAUUUUUCCAAAAUUCCCAGGUGAUUUUUUGCUACAGUGACCUCGAUGCCCUUUUGAAGAUUCGUAGCGACUGGGAUAGAGGCUUGAGAUGAUUCUUGUACGAUUGUGUGCGUCUUUGAGAGACACUUUGUUUGCAUCUGGUCUGGUGGUUUUCCACCGGUGAAAGAUGGAGUAGCGGCCGUUUGACCACUGCGUUUGUACUGUAGCGUUAUAUCGCCUUGUACUCAGUGACCUAGAGAGACUUGUUUCGUCAUGAUUUAUGUUGGCUUAAUUUCAUGAUUUUGGUAAUCUGGUGAAUAUAUUUUGCUCUGUUUUGGUUGAAUGCUAUGUUAAUUCUCUUUACCUCAUCUCUGGUUUAUUUGUUUGUGUUGUAUGAAAACUCUUCUUUUUUUUUUAUCUUAAGCUCUUGUUCUUUAUUUUUGUAAGAUGAUUUUGCUAGACUAUUGUUGAGCUUUAGAAUAAUUAUGGCAGUAAUCAAAACGUAUUAGGUGAAUUAAUUUUUUUCUUGGUUUCAAAUCAUGGUAUUUUUAUUGGAUUGUAAAAUCAUAAUUUGGCUCUUACUGUUUAGUGAUUCUUUAUCUAAGCAUAUUCGUCUCUAAUUAGAGCUUAACUAUUUUGGAUUACUGAAGCUUGAGAAUGACGAGUCAUGUGAACUUUGUAAGUUA
rnacentral:lncRNA from 1 species